UGUUGUUUGGGCCAAGAAUUUGCGUGCCAGCCCAACUUAAUUAGCUACUGGGCUCAUUUUUAAGGGAGCUUCUAUAGUGAGUGGGAAGUUAUAAGGGGUGUUUUUGAGGGGUAUGUAAGAGCCAUUGGAUUUCAUCCAACGGUGAGUUUUUAAAAGAGGGUGCAUGUAGAAUCGGGUUGAAAUCUAACCCGUUAGAAACCCAACUUCAGUUGUUCCCCUCUUUCCCUCUCUGUGAAAAACUGAAGAACACAAUCCUUUCUUUUUGAAUGUAAAGCAAACCCACAAUUAGAAGGAUCCAAAUCUCCCAAACCUUAAAGUCACUCCACUGUCAUUAGCUCGUUGGGAGGCCUGCGAUCUAUGGUAUCCUGGGUAUUACGAAGAAUGGCUCUUACC
rnacentral:lncRNA from 1 species